UACAGGGGGUGCAACCGUUGCUCGGAAUCAUUGGGCGUAAAGCGCACGUAGGCGGUUCGUUAUGUCGGAUGUGAAAGCCCUUGGCUUAACCGAGGAAGUGCAUCCGAAACUGGCGAGCUAGAGUACUAAAGAGGAUCGCGGAAUUCCCGGUGUAGAGGUGAAAUUCGUAGAUAUCGGGAGGAACACCGGUGGCGAAGGCGGCGAUCUGGGUAGAUACUGACGCUGAGGUGCGAAAGCGUGGGGAGCAAACAGG
rnacentral:rRNA from 1 species